AGCCUGAUGCAGCGACGCCGCGUGAGGGAUGACGGCCUUCGGGUUGUAAACCUCUUUCAGUACCGACGAAGCGCGAGUGACGGUAGGUACAGAAGAAGGACCGGCCAACUACGUGCCAGCAGCCGCGGUAAUACGUAGGGUCCGAGCGUUGUCCGGAAUUACUGGGCGUAAAGAGCUCGUAGGUGGUUUGUCGCGUUGUUCGUGAAAACUCACAGCUUAACUGUGGGCGUGCGGGCGAUACGGGCAGACUGGAGUACUGCAGGGGAGACUGGAAUUCCUGGUGUAGCGGUGGAAUGCGCAGAUAUCAGGAGGAACACCGGUGGCGAAGGCGGGUCUCUGGGCAGUAACUGACGCUGAGGAGCGAAAGCGUGGGGAGCGAACAGGAUUAGAUACCCUGGUAGUCCACGCCGUAAACGGUGGGUACUAGGUGUGGGUUUCCUUCCUUGGGAUCCGUGCCGUAGCUAACGCAUUAAGUACCCCGCCUGGGGAGUACGGCCGCAAGGCUAAAACUCA
rnacentral:rRNA from 1 species